AGAGUUUGAUCCUGGCUCAGGAUGAACGCUGGCGGCGUGCCUAACACAUGCAAGUCGAACGGAGAUUAUUCGCUGCCAAACCUUCGGGUGAAGCUUGAGUAAUCUUAGUGGCGGACGGGUGAGUAACGCGUGGGCAACCUGCCUUACACAGGGGGAUAGCAGUUGGAAACGACUGGUAAUACCGCAUACCUUGGGGAAUUCGCAUGUUUACCUCAAGAAAACUUUAGUGGUGUAAGAUGGGCCCGCGUCCGAUUAGAUAGUUGGUGAGGUAACGGCUCACCAAGUCGACGAUCGGUAGCCGACCUAAGAGGGCGGACGGCCACAUUGGGACUGAGACACGGCCCAGACUCCUACGGGAGGCAGCAGUGGGGAAUAUUGCACAAUGGAGGGAACUCUGAUGCAGCGACGCCGCGUGAGCGAUGAAGUAUUUCGGUAUGUAAAGCUCUAUCAGUAGGGAAGAUAAUGACGGUACCUACACAAGAAGCCCCGGCUAAAUACGUGCCAGCAGCCGCGGUAAUACGUAUGGGGCAAGCGUUAUCCGGAUUUACUGGGUGUAAAGGGAGCGUAGGCGGCAGUACAAGUCGGGAGUGAAAACCCGGGGCUCAACCCCGAGACUGCUCUCGAAACUGUACAGCUAGAGUGCAGGAUGGGCAGGCGGAAUUCCUGGUGUAGCGGUGAAAUGCGUAGAUAUCAGGAGGAACACCGGUGGCGAAGGCGGCCUGCUGGACUGUAACUGACGCUCAGGCUCGAAAGCGUGGGGAGCGAACAGGAUUAGAUACCCUGGUAGUCCACGCCGUAAACGAUGA
rnacentral:rRNA from 1 species